rnacentral:lncRNA from 1 species
GUACUAACCUGUCACACACUGAAGACCUAUAGGUUCACCACUGUACUAACCUGUCACACACUGAAGACCUAUAGGUUCACCACUGUACUAACCUGUCACACACUGAAGACCUAUAGGUUCACCACUGUACUAACCUGUCACACACUGAAGGCCUAUAGGUUCACCACUGUACUAACCUGUCACACACUGAAGACCUAUAGGUUCACCACUGUACUAACCUGUCACACACUGAAGACCUAUAGGUUCACCACUGUACUAACCUGUCACACACUGAAGACCUAUAGGUUCACCACUGUACUAACCUGUCACACACUGAAGACCUAUAGGUUCACCACUGUACUAACCUGUCACACUGAAGACCUAUAGGUUCACCACUGUACUAACCUGUCACACACUGAAGACCUAUAGGUUCACCACUGUACUAACCUGUCACACACUGAAGGCCUAUAGGUUCACCACUGUACUAACCUGUC